UGGGGAAUUUUGCACAAUGGGGGAAACCCUGAUGCAGCGACGCCGCGUGAUUUAGAAGGCCUUCGGGUUGUAAAAAUCUUUUCUAUGGGAAGAAAAUGACAGUACCAUAGGAAUAAGGACCGGCAAAUUACGUGCCAGCAGCCGCGGUAAUACGUAAGGUCCGAGCGUUGUCCGGAAUCAUUGGGCGUAAAGGGUACGUAGGCGGGUAAGCAAGUUAGAAGUGAAAUCCUAUAGCUCAACUAUAGUAAGCUUUUAAAACUGCUCAUCUUGAGGUAUGGAAGGGAAAGUGGAAUUCCUAGUGUAGCGGUGAAAUGCGCAGAUAUUAGGAGGAAUACCGGUGGCGAAGGCGACUUUCUGGCCAUAACCUGACGCUGAGGUACGAAAGCGUGGGUAGCAAACAGG
rnacentral:rRNA from 1 species